AUGGAAGGGCCAUCGCUCAACGGAUAAAAGCUACCCCGGGGAUAACAGGCUUAUCUCCCCCAAGAGUCCACAUCGACGGGGAGGUUUGGCACCUCGAUGUCGGCUCAUCGCAUCCUGGGGCUGUAGUCGGUCCCAAGGGUUGGGCUGUUCGCCCAUUAAAGCGGUACGCGAGCUGGGUUCAGAACGUCGUGAGACAGUUCGGUCCCUAUCCGUCGCGGGCGCAGGAAAUUUGAGAGGAGCUGUCCUUAGUACGAGAGGACCGGGAUGGACGCACCGCUGGUGUACCAGUUGUCUUGCCAAAGGCAUAGCUGGGUAGCUACGUGCGGACGGGAUAAGUGCUGAAAGCAUCUAAGCAUGAAGCCCCCCUCAAGAUGAGAUUUCCCAUGGCGCAAGCUAGUAAGAUCCCUGAAAGAUGAUCAGGUUGAUAGGUCAGAGGUGGAAGCGUGGCGACAUGUGGAGCUGACUGAUACUAAUAGAUCGAGGACUUAACCAAC
rnacentral:rRNA from 1 species